rnacentral:rRNA from 1 species
GGAGGGGUGCGAGCGUUGUUCGGAAUUACUGGGCGUAAAGAGCGCGUAGGCGGGUCGAGUAAGUCGAAUGUGAAAUCCCCGGGGCUCAACCCGGGAACUGCAUCCGAAACUGCUCGGCUAGAGUCCCCGGAGAGGAAGGCAGAAUUCCCAGUGUAGGGGUGAAAUCCGUAGAUAUUGGGAGGAAUACCAGUGGCGAAGGCGGCCUUCUGGACGGUGACUGACGCUGAGGCGCGAAAGCGUGGGGAGCAAACAGGAUUAGAUACCCUGGUAGUCCACGCCGUAAACGUUGUGCACUAGGCGUCGGAGGUAUUCACUCCGCCGGUGCCGCAGCUAACGCAUGAAGUGCACCGCCUGGGGAGUACGGCCGCAAGGCUA